UCAAAUAAGAUUCAUAGAUAAUAUGAUGAUAAAUCCACAAUUCAUCGAAUCUCGACAAACACACCACAAAAGAAGAUUACAUCAGAUAGAUCUCCAUGAAGAUCAUGGAGAACUUUGUAUUGAAGAUCCAAGAGAGAGAAGAAGCCAUCUAGCUACUAGCUAUUCACCCGAAGGUCUAUGGUGAACUACUCACGCAUCAUCGGAGAGGUCAUGGUGAUGAUGAAGAAGCCAUCCGUUUCCGAAUCCCCCCUCCGGCAGGGCACCAGAAUAUGCCCCAGAUGGGAUCUUGCGGAGACAGAAGCUUGCGGCGGCGAAAAAGUAUAUUCGUGGAUCUCUCGCGCAGUUUUGUAUUUUUCGGGAAUUUAUAGGCGGAAGAGGUAGGGCAGACGAGCCACAGGGGGCCCACAAGCCUGCUAGGCGCACCGCCCUGGCCGCGCCUCGGGGGCUUGAGGCCUCUGCCUUGGUUCUCACGUCCCCGGCGUAUCUUCUGUUCCGGAAAAAUCUUUUCGGAAGUUUUAUUCCGUUUGGACACCAUUUAAAAUUCUCCUCUGAAAAGUGUCAAAAACACGGAAAAACAAGAACUGGCACUUGGCACUGAGUUAAUAAGUUAGUCCCAAAAAUCAUAUAAAAGGCAUACAAAACAUCCAAAGUUUGACAAGAUAAUAGCAUGGAACCGUCAAAAAUUAUAGAUACGUUGGAGACGUAUCAAGCGUCCCCAAGCUUAACUCCUGCUCGUCCUCGAGUAGGGAAGUGAUGAAGACUGAAUUUUUGAUCUGGAAUGCUACCUAGCAUAUUUGUCCUUUGUAACUUCUUUCAUGUGACAUGAAUGUUCAUAUCCGUAAGAUUCAAAACAAUAGUUCGC
rnacentral:lncRNA from 1 species